GCGCCGAAUAUAGCCCGGCCAAGUAUGCGGGCCUCAUAAGCCCGAGACCCGGGUUCAAAUCCCGGCCGGAGCA
rnacentral:tRNA from 1 species